UGUGAAAGAAGAUAGGUUCCAGGAACGGAACUGCCACUUAGAUUGUAAAUUCCUGAAAAACAGGACGUUUUUGCAUCUCCUCCCGGCUUCCCCAUCCCUAAACCAACGUCUGUUGAAUUAAACUACCAAACAAAAUAACUGCAGUACAGCAAUGGCGAUCAGAAGGUAGAACAGCUGUAUGGCUGCACAUUCCCAUCCUCCAAAGCCGAUUUAUUGCCCCUGCUGCUUCCCUGGGCUUCUGCUUUCACCACGCAGAAUCGGAUUCAUCAACGUUGACUCUGUGGCUGAGAGAAGGGCCCAGCAGAUUACCAGGAUAUGCUUCACAUCAAGUAGGAGUUGCAGGAGCUGUAUUUGAUGAAAGUACUAGAAAAAUACUGGUUGUACAAGAUCGAAAUAAAGUAAGCUGCUUCUGUUUUAUAAAUUGCUUCCUAAAUGUUUAUUUCUUUCUAGAGAAGAAUAAAAUAUAGAAAUUUUAAUAUGCCUAAGGGGUUAUAGAAAGGUAUUUUAAAAAUCAUUUCUAAGCAGUUAUGGAUCACCUUAGAUAUUUAUUUAAACCAAACUACUUAUACAGACCUUGAAAAUUUCCAGGUAACACUCAGUGUUACUAUCUAUUACUUUAUGGCUAAAGGAAAAUUAUAAAUGACUGUAUUUAAUUGGGAAGACAAGUCUGCUUUAAUAUAUUACCAAGAUAUUCUUCCAUUCAUUCAGCAUUCAAUGAGUUUCUACUCUGUGCCAGGUGCUGAGAAUAUAAAAAGCAGUAAGACGAUAUACCUUAUGCCCUGCAGCUUACUAUUUAUUUGGAAAGACAGUCAUACAAUAGAUGACAGCAAUUAACUUUGCCUGAAGAAGUCCCCAAAGACUUCUCAAAGGAGGUGAAAUUUAAACUAGGUCUUGAAGAAUGAGUAGGAGCUUUCCAGGUGCAGAAG
rnacentral:lncRNA from 10 species